CGGGGUGCAGCAGGCGCGAAAACUUUACAAUGCGGGAAACCGUGAUAAGGGGACACCGAGUGCCAGCAUCAUAUGCUGGCUGUCCAGGUGUGUAAAAUACACCUGUUAGCAAGGGCCGGGCAAGACCGGUGCCAGCCGCCGCGGUAACACCGGCGGCCCGAGUGGUGAUCGUGAUUAUUGGGUCUAAAGGGUCCGUAGCCGGUUUGGUCAGUCCUCCGGGAAAUCUGAUAGCUCAACUAUUAGGCUUUCGGGGGAUACUGCCAGACUUGGAACCGGGAGAGGUAAGAGGUACUACAGGGGUAGGAGUGAAAUCUUGUAAUCCCUGUGGGACCACCUGUGGCGAAGGCGUCUUACCAGAACGGGUUCGACGGUGAGGGACGAAAGCUGGGGGCACGAACCGGAUUAGAUACCCGGGUAGUCCCAGCCGUAAACGAUGCUCGCUAGGUGUCAGACAUGGCGCGACCGUGUCUGGUGCCGCAGGGAAGCCGUGAAGCGAGCCACCUGGGAAGUACGGCCGCAAGGCUGAAACUUAAAGGAAUUGGCGGGGGAGCACAAGGGC
rnacentral:rRNA from 1 species